rnacentral:rRNA from 1 species
UACGUAGGGGGCAAGCGUUAUCCGGAUUUACUGGGUGUAAAGGGAGCGUAGACGGCAGCGCAAGUCUGGAGUGAAAUGCCGGGGCCCAACCCCGGAACUGCAUUGGAAACUGCGGGACUGGAGUGUCGGAGGGGUAAGCGGAAUUCCUAGUGUAGCGGUGAAAUGCGUAGAUAUUAGGAGGAACACCAGUGGCGAAGGCGGCCUGCUGGACUGUAACUGACGUUGAGGCUCGAAAGCGUGGGGAGCAAACAGG